UGCCCCCAAAGAACAAACUCAAGCAACCUUUCGCAAGCUCAGAACCAAAGGAGAGAACCGCCUUUGUUUCGAUUGUGAUGACAAGAACGCCACCUGGGCCUCCCCAACUUAUG
rnacentral:ribozyme from 1 species